CAGUCAUCCAUCUAGCCUAAACACAACUAUAACCUUAAUUUUAAGCACCACCCUAUUAUACCUUAAAACAUUCUUAAUCUUUAGUAUAUGUGAUAAAAAAAGAACCUAGAGCAAUAACAAUAGUACCGCAAGGGAAAGAUGAAAUAAGAGUGAAAUAUUUUUAAACUCAAUAAAGCAAAGUUUUCACCUUGUACCUUUUGCAUCAUGGCCUAACAAGUCUAACUCAGGCAAAAAGAAUUCUAGUCUGAUCUCCCGAAACUAAGUGAGCUACUCCGAGGCAACCAUUAGAGUUAACCCGUCUCUGUUGCAAAAGAGUGGGAAGACCUCCGAGUAGAGGCGAAAAACCUAUCGAACUUAGUGAUAGCUGGUUGCUCAGGAAAAGAAUCUUAGUUCUUCCUUAAGAAUAUAAUAGCAUAAUUUAAGCAAACCGAAUUCUUAAGAGCUAUUCAAUAAGGGUACAGCUUUAUUGAAAAAGGAUACAACCUAAUCUUCAGGUUAAUGAUUAAAUCCAAAAAGGUUUAAAGGUGAAGUUGGCCUAAAAGCAGCCACCUUGCAAAAAGCGUCAAAGCUUUAUCUUUCUCCCACCUUUUAUUAAAUUAUUAUUCACCAAAACCCGAUACUACUACUGAGCCGUUCUAUAUUUCUAUAGAAGCAUCUAUGUUAGGACUAGUAACACAGAAUUUUUUCUCUUUAAUGUAAGUGUACAUCAGACUGAAUACCUCACUGAUUUUUACACAGUCUUGAACCUAAAGUACUACCUCCCCCUCCCCCGAAAACUCUACUUACCCGACUGUUAACCUAACACAAGAACAUGAAAAAAAGAUUAAAAGAAUGGGAAGGAACUCGGCAAAUUUAAGUCUCGCCUGUUUACCAAAAACAUCGCCUUUUGAACACUAUAAAAGGUAACGCCUGCCCAGUGACAACUUGUUUAACGGCCGCGGUAUUCUGACCGUGCGAAGGUAGCGUAAUCACUUGUCUUUUAAAUAAAGACUAGUAUGAAUGGCAUCACGAGGACUUAACUGUCUCCCCCCUCCAAUCAGUGAAACUGAUCUCCCCGUACAAAAGCGGGGGUAAAUUCAUAAGACGAGAAGACCCUAUGGAGCUUAAAACCAAAAACCGCCUGUUUAACCUCCUAUAGUAACUUAGCACUAAAAUAACAGGCCUAGUUUAGGUUUUCAGUUGGGGUGACUGUGGAGAAAAAUUAAUCCUCCAUGAAGACUUAAGCUUAGGGCAACCGCUCUGUGCAUUAGCAAGUCUAACUUUAUUUGAUCCAAUAUUCUGAUCAACGGACCAAGUUACCCUAGGGAUAACAGCGCAAUCCAUUUCAAGAGUCCUUAUCGACAAAUGGGUUUACGACCUCGAUGUUGGAUUAGGACAUCCAAGUGGUGCAGCCGCUACUAAGGGUUCGUUUGUUCAACGAUUAAAGUCCUACGUGAUCUGAGUUCAGACCGGAGUAAUCCAGGUCAGUUUCUAUCUAUGAUAUUACUUUUUCUAGUACGAAAGGACCGAAAAAGUAGAGCCUCUAAAACCUUCAAGCUCUAGCUUAACAUUAUUGAACUUAUCUUAAACAAGAACAAGCUCAUUACUUUACCUAAGAUAAAGGCGC
rnacentral:rRNA from 1 species